CCCGGUUCAUCUCCAUUUUCUAUUAUGCCGAGUAGACCACUGAUGUAUAGGCCAGCGUCGCAUGAGGGAUUGCAAGAGGGGCCGUCGGGGAGCUCUUCUUUUUACCAAUCCCCAUCACCGUAUGGGUUUCAAACACCGUCGUCGUUGGUGAUGCAAACACCUCCACAUUCACUAAUCUAUCAAGGUGGCUCAUCGUCCCAACACCGACAACCAGAUGCCUUACCGGAGGAACCAAAAUCCCUACCGGAGCAAUCAUAACCCCUGCCGGAAGCUGGACAAAGGAGGAAUCCAGCGCGUAACCGUCGACGGCAUCCAUGAGGCACAGAAUCCGGC
rnacentral:lncRNA from 1 species